UACGUAGGGUGCGAGCGUUAAUCGGAAUUACUGGGCGUAAAGCGUGCGCAGGCGGUUUUAUAAGACAGAUGUGAAAUCCCCGGGCUUAACCUGGGAAAUGCGUUUGUGACUGUAAAGCUAGAGUACGGUAGGGGGGGGUAGAAUUCCACGUGUAGCAGUGAAAUGCGUAGAUAUGUGGAGGAAUACCGAUGGCGAAGGCAGCCCCCUGGAUCUGUACUGACGCUCAUGCACGAAAGCGUGGGGAGCAAACAGG
rnacentral:rRNA from 1 species